GUGGGGAAUAUUGGACAAUGGUCGGAAGACUGAUCCAGCCAUGCCGCGUGAAGGCAGACGGUCCUAUGGAUUGUAAACUUCUUUUGUACGGGAGCAAUAAGGAUCACGUGUGGUCCGAUGAGAGUACCGUACGAAUAAGCAUCGGCUAACUCCGUGCCAGCAGCCGCGGUAAUACGGAGGAUGCGAGCGUUAUCCGGAUUUAUUGGGUUUAAAGGGUGCGUAGGCGGAAGGCUAAGUCAGCGGUGAAACGCAGGUGCUCAACACCUGACCUGCCGUUGAAACUGGUUUUCUAGAAUGCGGAUGCUGUGGGAGGAAUGUGUGGUGUAGCGGUGAAAUGCAUAGAUAUCACACAGAACACCGAUUGCGAAGGCAUCUCACAAAUCCGCGAUUGACGCUGAGGCACGAAGGUGCGGGGAUCGAACAGG
rnacentral:rRNA from 1 species